rnacentral:misc_RNA from 1 species
UGCCACUCUAUGCCAAUAUAAGGGCAGAAGAAAACUGCAAUCACAUGUCCUCAGCCCACACACAAGAGAAGAAACAUCCAUCACUUGGGUUGUACAAAGAGUUAGUGAAUAGCAUCAAAGCUGAUACCAAAUUGUGCUGGCAAGGAACGCUUGUAAGCACCAGAAACAGCAACGGCAGUUUCUGACAGCUUGUUCUUCAUCUCUGAAAUUUUGGCUUCCAUAUGUUCCUUGUAUUUUGAGACUGCAUCAACCACUUCAAAGAGUUCUCGUGCAUGCAUUUGAAUUUCUUCUUCACUUCUUUUAACUGCUUCCUGCAACUUUAGUUCGGAGUCCUUCAGAAUCUCUGCUGCUUCUCUUUCCAAAAUAUCCAAGUUAUGAGCCUCCAUUUGAACAUCCUGCACCAGCUUUUUAGCUUCUGCUGCACAUCUGUUGGUGUACUCCUCUGUUUCUUUCCUCAAAGAGUUCAACUGAGCUUCAACUUCAUCAACAUGAGAUUGAAGCUCAGCGAUGCGAUUUUUUUUGCCCUCAAUCUUAGCAGUCAAUUCUGAUGAUUCUUGUUGAAGUGAAAUCAACUCUUCCAGUUUUGCCAUAGAAUUUUUCUUUAUGUCAUCAGCAAAGGAUUCAAGUCCAGGCUUCGUAGUCAAUUCCCAUAACUUCAGCAGAUGUAGAACCCUCAGCAUUUAACACAUACUGAAAACCAUUUCCAAGUUUUAAUCUCCUAGCAGCCUGGUUACAUUCCAUGGAAAGUGCUUCAAGCUCCUUAAACUUAUGUCCAAUUGCUGCAUCAAGAUCCCACAUCUUCUCCUCCCAUGAAUUCCUUGCAGCCUCAGCCUCUCCAAUAUCUCUCUCCACUGCCUGCAAUUCCCUCUUCAUCCUCUCUGCAUCCCUCGCAUUAAAACUCUGUUCAUCCACCCUCUUCUUCAAAUCCUCAUUCUCCUCGUCAAUCCUCUUCCUCUCCUCCACUUUAGCCUCCAAUUCUUUUCUUUUCUCCUCCAACAGCUUCUCCAUACCCUCAAUCCUCUGAUUGAACUCUGCAAUCAUCGCAUGGAACUUUUUCACAUCCUCCUCUAACACACUUUUCUCUUUCUCUAGCUUCUCUAUCUCCGUAGGCCCCUUCCUCAUCGCCUCCGCUUUCGCCGAAAGUUGGUUAAAAUUUGCCUCCAAAUCCCUAACACUUUCAAGCACACUAUCCCUUUCUCUCUCCAGCUUCUCCAUGAACUCUCUAUCCAAUGUCUCCACUGAAUCAUCAUCCCCACGAAUAUAACUCAAAUAACUGUUAAAUGCAUACACGAGCAUACUAUUACUUUCCACAAAAGCCCUCGAAUUUGCUGCUAAGUGCUCCUGAUACAUCGCAAUCUGAAUUAGCCAGUGAAUUACUGCAAGAAAUGAAGGCCAGUUAUGAGGAGUAUUAGGGGCACGAAGAGUAGAUCUGAUGACCUUGAAGGGGCAAUUCAGGGACUUCAAAAUUAUGAAAAGAUCAUCCUCGAGCUUCGUAGAAGGAUAAUCCAGUCGGUGGAGAAGGAACUGGAGGACUUCGGUGAUCUCCUUAGCGGAGGAGAUAGGGUGCGUCCUCAACGAAAGAACUGACGAGUGAGAGGAGAGGUACGUAUUGAUUGAGCGAACUGCUGAGUUUUGGUGUGA